rnacentral:lncRNA from 1 species
UGUUUGAGUGGGUUUUUGGUAAUAUACAAGUAUUUAUAACAUUAAUUAAAGGAAGGGGGGAGAACAUGUUUAAGUGUUUUGCAAUUUUCACUUGUUGGAAGUAAGAAGUUUCUGGACUGUUUUGUUUUGUAUGGAUUUUAAUUUUAGUUUAUUGUUUUAAUUUGAUUGAUGGAUUGAUUGUUGGUUGCUUAACGUCAAGUGGCAAAUAUUUCAUGCAUAUUCAUUUUAUUAAUUUGAAGUUUGAUAUUUCAUCUGUUAGUGCUGAACUAGUAUACAUAUUUGUUUAGUUACUUAGUAUAUGGGAAGCUUAUUGUUACAUUAAAGAGUUAUUGGUAACAUUUAU